ensembl:lncRNA
CGUGGCUUGGGGCGGGUUUUGAGGGAUUAUGGGUAAAGGGGCGGGACUAAAGGCGGAGUUUCGAUUGCGGACGGAAGGGGCGGGGCUUAGGGCGGAAAUUGGGUCUUUUAGGGCGGAAGUGGGGUCAAUUUGGGCGGAAGUGGGGUCUUUAAGGGCGGAAGUUGGGUCAUCUGUGGAGGAACUAGGGUAUUUAAGGGCGGAAAUGGGUCCUUAAGGGCGGAAGUCGGGUCAUUAAGGGCGGAAGUGGGCCCAUUCGCCCGGCCCCCAAUGGGAAGCAAUACGUCCGCUGCCCCUGCAACUGCCUGCUGGUCUGCCGCAGCUCCGCGCGCCGCGUCGCCUGCCCACGGCCUUACUGUGGACGGAAUUCACGGAUCGCACCUUGGCACGAUGUCCCCACUGCAGGAAAGUCUCCUCCAUUGGCCGCCGUUACCCGCGCCGCCGCUGCCUCUGCUGCUUCUUCCUGGGGCUGCUGAUGGCCGCCUCCGCCACCGGCCUGGCUGUGGGGACGUGGGCAGCAGCCCGUCGCUGGGGGGCUCUACACGCGUGUUGGGCCGUGUUGGUGGCGGGGGCCGGAGCGUGUUUGCUACGAGCCGGAUACUGGGGCUGCGUGAGGGUCAGCCACCCCAUCCCACAACGCGCCUGAACACGCCAACGACACGCCAAGGUCACGCUAAGGACACGUGUCCGACCGUCUCGCCAGCUCCAACACGCCAAGGCUUCAGGUAUGGGAACAUGCUAAGGACAUGCUUGCGUCACGGAACACGCUAAGGGCGUGGGUUCAUCAUCCGACAUUCCUCAGACGUGCUGAAGUCAUUGGACAUGCUGAGGACACGCCAGCGUCAUGGCACAUGCUAAGGACAUGGAUUGACUUCAUGGCAUUCCACGGGUCACGCAACACGCUAAGGCUAAGGACACGCUUAGGUCACGUGACAACACGCUAAGGACAUGGAUGUACCCUGUGAGGAUCCCGGCGUGCGGUCGGGUCACGCAACACGCUAAGAACAUGCUUAGGUCACGUGACAACACGCUAAGGACACGGGUUUAACCUGUAAGAAUCUUCUGUCAGAUGAACACGCUAAGAACACGCUUAGGUCACGUGACACGCUGGGAAGAUCACGUGACGUUCCUGGGAGCCAUCUUGGAUCGACCCCACCAUCAUGGCGGCCACCUUGGGUCAUGUGACACGGCGGCCAUCUUGGAUCGUUGCGCGGGGUUGAGUCGCGUGAUGUGGCGGCCAUCUUGGAUGAGCCCACGUGACUCGUCGGCCAUCUUGGAUCCACCGCAGCGGCCAUCUUGGGUCCACAGGCGCCAUCUUGGAUCGACCCACAUUAUCUAUCAUGGCGGCCGUCCUGGGUGGAGUCACGUGACGCGGCGGCCAUCUUGGAUCGACCCACAUUGUCACGGCUGUCAUUUUCCUUCGAGUCACGUGACCCAGCGGCCAUCUUGGAUCCACAGGCGCCAUCUUGGAUCGACCUACAUCGUCACGGCGGCCAUCUUGACUGGACCCACGUGACCUAGCGGGCAUCUUGGAUCAACGCACGUGACUCAGCAGCCAUCUUGGAUCCACUCUACCACCACAGCCAUCUUGGCUCCACCCACGUGACUCAGCAGCCAUCUUGGCUCCGUCCCACCACCAUGGCGGCCAUCUUGGCUCGACCCACGUGACUCGUCGGCCAUCUUGGAUCAACGCACAUGACUCGGCAGCCAUCUUGCAUCCACUCUACCAUGACAGCUGCCAUUUUGGCUCGCCCCACGUGACUCGGCAGCC